rnacentral:lncRNA from 1 species
AAGAAAUAAAUAAAUAAAUAAAUAAAAUAAAAAAUCUCAGACUUGGACCUCUCUCAAAAGCCCACUAAGCUACCAAUAUUAGGCUAUAAAUACUAGAGUUUUUAUUGAAACAAAACCCUGGACAAAACCUGGAGAGAAACCUAGACAAAGAGAGUGAGAAUUAAUCUGCAGCAACCUCUAGGCAACUCUGAAAGGUUCAUUCUGACUCACACACUUUCAGCUCAAGCAAACCCUAACAUUGAUUUGCAAAUCCAGCCGUGCCAUUUGAUUUCAACCGGUCUC